GACAGAGGUGCCAAGCGUUAGGCGGAAUCACUGGGCUUAAAGCGUGUGUAGGCGGGUGUCUAAGUCCCUUGUGAAAUCCCACGGCUCAACCGUGGAACUGCUGGGUAUACUGGGUGCCUUGGGUCAUCUAGGGGCUGCCGGAACAAAUGGUGGAGCGGUGAAAUGCGUAGAUAUCAUUUGGAACGCCAACGGCGAAAGCAGGCAGCUGGGGAUGCACCGACGCUGAGACACGAAAGCCAGGGGAGCGAACGGG
rnacentral:rRNA from 1 species